GCAACAGCAGCAGCUGGGAGGCUGGGUGUGGGACAGGAACCGCUGCAGCAGCUCUGCACUGUUAUGGAAGGGAAGAGUCUCCAGGCCCACUGACUCAGUCACUCUUCUUUUUGUGGAUGAACCUGCUUCUUUCCUUGACUGGAAGAUAGGAUCGCUCAAGAGGGUGACUAGAGACUGUGUUACGAUAGAACUGCAGUUCUAUUUUGCUACUCCCAAAAAGCCUCAGGUUUCCUUGUGGUUUGUUUCCCACUCUGCAAUUUGUUGCUGCUUCACAUCCAAUUCUGCCACCCAACUGCAAAUAGGCCGAGCAGACAAGGCUCUGUCUGUGCACUCUGCAUGUAGGUGGUACAUGUACAUACCAGAGGAGAG